GCUCUCUCGACCGGGCAGUUUUCUCGGCCCAUCUCUGAACGCUUGUUCCUCCUGCCCACGCUCAGCCGCUCAGCCGCUCGCCGGUGCUUCUCCCCGUUGCCGCCCGGGGCGUCCGCCUCCCCCUCCCGUCGCCUACCCCAACAAGACCACGGGCGCGUGGUUCAACCGGAUCCAUCAACUGCCGUCACCAUCGCCAUGGCCGAGCCAGAUGAUGGAUAACUACAGUUCAGGCCAUGCCAGGCAAAAUCUUUAGGUGCACAAGGAUCACCAAUCCAGUUCUUCUUCAGCGCAUACGUCGUACGGAUCGUCAUCAUGGCCUCAGCUGUCAUACAGAAAGAAAAAAAGAUGGAUUCCUGAAGUUCUGCUCUGCAUGCAAUCCAACCUAAUAGUUCAAAACUGGACUUGUAAAUGUUAACCCGAGCUAGUUAAGAUUGUUGACAAUGUAACAGAGAGAUUACAGUGUUAGAUACCGUCUACAUUGUCC